rnacentral:rRNA from 1 species
UACGUAGGGUGCAAGCGUUGUCCGGAAUUAUUGGGCGUAAAGAGCUCGUAGGCGGUUUGUCGCGUCGAAUGUGAAAACCCGGGGCUCAACCCCGGGCCUGCAUUCGAUACGGGCAGACUAGAGUUCGGUAGGGGAGUCUGGAAUUCCUGGUGUAGCGGUGAAAUGCGCAGAUAUCAGGAGGAACACCGGUGGCGAAGGCGGGUCUCUGGGCCAUAACUGACGCUGAGGAGCGAAAGCGUGGGGAGCGAACAGG